rnacentral:lncRNA from 1 species
ACUCCUGUUUUAACCAGCAUGAUUUCCAGCAGUUCUAAUACAUGUUUUUUUUUUUUUAAGAAAAAAAUUCACCCUGACAACAAACAGUUGCUUCUAUCAUUUCUGCCAUCAAAUAGUAAAGAUCUGACAGCUCUUCAGAUACAGAGAAGCAGAGCCAUUCUCCGGGGAUCCUGGAGCUCCCAGCCGAAGCUCCCUUCUGCAAAGAGGACUUUCACAUGAAGCCUGCCUGAGGACUGCUUACUUCCUGGUUAUUUUGCUAAAAGAAUGUCCGACAAAAGUAAAAGACAAAGAGGCAUUAUUUAAACUGUUCAAGGGGAAAAUCCCAGCAAUCAAUAUCGCCUACAACCCUAAUCUCUUCGAAUGGGUUAGACCAAGAAAUGUGGGAAGGAGAUCGAUUUUGAUAUGUUUUUAGUUUAGGAGCAAACCACACUUUAAUUCUACCGUGUAGAAUUUCACGUCUUACUAUUAGUUAUG